UAUUUCCCUGAAAAUAAGCCCUAAUGCAUCUUUUGGAGCAAAAAUUAAUAUAAGAACCAGUCUUCUUUUUGGGGGAACACGGGAUAGAGUCUUAUAGGGGCU